CCUACGGUGGGCUGCAGUGGGGAAUUUUGGACAAUGGGGGCAACCCUGAUCCAGCCAUUCCGCGUGAGUGAAGAAGGCCUUCGGGUUGUAAAGCUCUUUCGGCAGGAACGAAACGGCGGGCUCUAACAUAGCCUGUCAAUGACGGUACCUGAAGAAGAAGCACCGGCUAACUACGUGCCAGCAGCCGCGGUAAUACGUAGGGGGCGAGCGUUAAUCGGAGUUUCUGGGCGUAGCUUGGUAGGACAGGGGUGAAAGCCCCGGGCUUAACCUGGGAACUGCGCUUGUGACUGCAAGGCUCGAGUGCGGCAGAGGGGGGUGGAAUUCCACGUGUAGCAGUGAAAUGCGUAGAGAUGUGGAGGAACACCGAUGGCGAAGGCAGCCCCCUGGGUCGACACUGACGCUCAUGCACGAAAGCGUGGGUAGCAAACAGGAUUAGAUACCCGAGUAGUC
rnacentral:rRNA from 1 species